rnacentral:rRNA from 1 species
GACGAACGCUGGCGGCGCGCUUAACACAUGCAAGUCGAACGGAAAGGCCUGCUUUCCCUUGUGGAUUGCGGGUACUCGAGUGGCGAACGGGUGAGUAACACGUGAGUGAUCUGCCCCCAACUUGGGUAUAAGCCUGGGAAACUGGGUCUAAUUCCCGAUAGGACUGCAGGGUGGUGCCUGUGGUGGAAAACGAUUUUCUAGUGGUUGGGGAUGAGCCCGCGGCCUAUCAGCUUGUUGGUGGGGUAAUGGCCUACCAAGGCGGCGACGGGUAGCCGGCCUGAGAGGGUGGACGGCCACAUUGGGACUGAGAUACGGCCCAGACUCCUACGGGAGGCAGCAGUGGGGAAUAUUGCACAAUGGGCGGAAGCCUGAUGCAGCGACGCCGCGUGGGGGAUGACGGCCUUCGGGUGGUAAACUCCUUUCGACCGCGAGGAAGCCACCUGGUUGGAAGGGUGGUGACGGUAGUGGUAGAAGAAGCACCGGCUAACUACGUG